AUUCAAAUACUGGUUCCCAUAUGAUCACUGAAGUUAAGCACCAUCAAUCCUGGUUAAUACUUAGAUGGGUGACCACUUCAGAAUACCACGUGCUGUAAG